ACUAUAGGUGUACCAGAAUCUCAUGGCAAACAAAAAUAUUGGAAAAGUGUGUUUUUCAUAUGGCCAUUGUCUAUGGCUUUAUUGUCACCUGUCAAAGUAAAUCAAGAGAUCUGUCAGUCGCUGCAGAAAUUUUGUAAUCUCUUCAUGCCUAUUUGUUAUUUUUGUGAAAAAGACGAAAAAACUCAAGCAAGUCAUAUUGUUUUCAAAGUGUAUUGUAAAAUAAGGCAUAAUUCAAAGUCAAUCUUUGAUUUUAAAGCGCGUCGUUGAGUUGACAGUGUAUUUCAUGCAUUGGUGCAGAGGAAUGGUGAAAAUGUUAUGACCAUGUAAAGAAAAUUGAAAAAGAUUUCAUCAAGCAAGUUUGAGUAAUUGAAAUGCUGAAAAAGCGAUUUAUAUUAUAUUAAUACCUCUUUAACUUGAUCAUCUAUUUGAAGAACAACAAGAAAUGCAAGUGGAGUUCUUAGAAUCGUUUUCUAGUUUUGAAUGAAGUGAUAAGUUAUAAGUAUGAUACUUAAUAAAAUUAUUUACAGUAAUAUACGGUUUACUUAUUUUUCAAGACAUCAUGUUCCUAUGUUAAAACGGGUUUUUAACAUAGGAACAUGAUGUCUUGAAAAAUUGUAUAACAACAUUCUUCAUACACAUACCUAAAAUGUAUAGGUAGGCAUUCGUACUUCAUGUUCAUUAAUAUUAGUCAUAAAUAAAAAUUAAACAGUA